GAUGAAGAACGCAGCGAAAUGCGAUAAGUAAUGUGAAUUGCAGAAUUCAGUGAAUCAUCGAAUCUUUGAACGCACAUUGCGCCCGCUAGUAUUCUGGCGGGCAUGCCUGUUCGAGCGUCAUUUCAACCCUCAGGCCCCCAGUGCCUGGCGUUGGGGAUCGGCCGCUGGCGUCCUUCGGGGCGCCUGGCCGGCCCCGAAAUCUAGUGGCGGUCUCGCUGUAGUCCUCCUCUGCGUAGUAGCACAACCUCGCAGUUGGAACUCGGUGGUGGCCAUGCCGUUAAACACCCCACUUCUGAAAGUUGACCUCGGAUCAGGUAGGAAUACCCGCUGAACUUAAGCAUAUCAAUAAGCGGAGGA
rnacentral:misc_RNA from 1 species